AUUGAACGCUGGCGGAAUGCUUUACACAUGCAAGUCGAACGGCAGCACGGGUCAACCUGGUGGCGAGUGGCGAACGGGUGAGUAAUACAUCGGAACGUGCCCAAUCGUGGGGGGAUAACGUAGCGAAAGUUACGCUAAUACCGCAUACGAUCUACGGAUGAAAGCGGGGGAUCGCAAGACCUCGCGCGAAUGGAGCGGCCGAUGUCAGAUUAGGUAGUUGGUGGGGUAAAGGCUCACCAAGCCAAUGAUCUGUAGCUGGUCUGAGAGGACGACCAGCCACACUGGAACUGAGACACGGUCCAGACUCCUACGGGAGGCAGCAGUGGGGAAUUUUGGACAAUGGGCGCAAGCCUGAUCAGCCAUUCCGCGUGCAGGAUGAAGGCC
rnacentral:rRNA from 1 species